rnacentral:lncRNA from 1 species
UGAAACUGCUCAGAACGUCAUCUACCCCGUUGGCAUGGGCAGGACCUGUCAGGAUAGCCCCAGAUCGCCUGCUUUCUUAUAGAAUCCAAGACCACAGUCCAGUGAAUGAACCAUCCAAAAGGGGCUGAGUCCUUCCCCAACUUGCACCGGUUAGAGUCUCCUGUCAGGUCUCCUUGGUUUCUCUAGUCAAGAGGAUGGGUAACCCACACAGAGAUACAAGACCAUUUGAAAGAUGCCUGACACAUGGAUGGUGUCCGUGAGUGGAUUGAGCUGCUGCUGCUGGUUCCUGUGAACUGAACUGCUGAUAUCCUGACAACGCAGAUUGGAUUUGCUCCAAAGAAAUAUUUCUAGUUAGGUUUACAUCUUCCUUUGCUCUAUUAACCUUUCCUUUCCAUUACCUCUGGUGGGCGGUGGGCUGGAAGGGAGGCUAAAGCAUUUAAGAACCACAACCCUUAAACUGUGAGCCUGUCAGUUUCAGACAAGAGACUAUUUACUUAAAUGAAUGGCUCUGGCCAGUUUUUGUUUAAAAUGGCCACUCAAAUUAAAAUAAAGGUGGGGAGCUGUAGAGAUGGCAUUUAUCUUCCAAAGGUCCUGAGUUCAAUUCCCACCAACCACAUGGUGACUCACAACCAUCUGUAAUGGGAUCUGAUACCCUCUUCUGAUGUGUCUGGAGACAGCAAUGGUGUACUCACAUAAUAAAAUAAAUAAAUGAUUCUUUUCUUU